rnacentral:rRNA from 1 species
GUUGUUGCGGUUAAAAAGCUCGUAGUUGGAUUUUGGGCGCAGGCGGCCGGUCCGUCGCAAGGCGUGUACUGGCCGUCCUGGCCUCACCUCCGGUUCUCCGCCGGUGCCCUUGACUGAGUGUCGGCGGCGGCCGGAACGUUUACUUUGAAAAAAUUAGAGUGUUCAAAGCAGGCGAUUCGCCUGAAUAAUGGUGCAUGGAAUAAUGGAAUAGGACCUCGGUUCUAUUUUGUUGGUUUUCGGAGCGCGAGGUAAUGAUUAAGAGGGACAGACGGGGGCAUUCGUACUGUGCCGUUAGAGGUGAAAUUCUUGGAUCGGCGCAAGACGAACGACUGCGAAAGCAUUUGCCAAGAAUGUUUUCUUUAAUCAAGAGCGAAAGUCAGAGGUUCGAAGACGAUCAGAUACCGUCCUAGUUCUGACUAUAAACGAUGCCAACUAGCGAUCGGGGGGCGUUAGUUUUACGACCUCUCCGGCAGCUUGCGGGAAACCAAAGUCUUUGGGUUCCGGGGGAAGUAUGGUUGCAAAGCUGAAACUUAAAGGAAUUGACGGAAGGGCACCACCAGGAGUGGAGCCUGCGGCUUAAUUUGACUCAACACGGGAAAUCUCACCCGGCCCGGACACAGUGAGGAUUGACAGAUUGAGAGCUCUUUCUUGAUUCUGUGGGUGGUGGUGCAUGGCCGUUCUUAGUUGGUGGAGCGAUUUGUCUGGUUAAUUCCGAUAACGAACGAGACUCUGGCUUGCUAACUAGUUACGCGACCCAAUCGGUCGGCGUCUAACUUCUUAGAGGGACUAGUGGCGUUUAGCCACACGAGAUUGAGCAAUAACAGGUCUGUGAUGCCCUUAGAUGUUCGGGGCCGCACGCGCGCUACACUGACCGGAUCAGCAUGUGCUCGCCUUGGCCGACAGGUCUGGGUAACCCGCUGAACCCCGGUCGUGCUAGGGAUAGGGAAUUGCAAUUAUUUCCCUUGAACGAGGAAUUCCCA